UGAACGCUGGCGGCGUGCCUAAUACAUGCAAGUCGAGCGAACGGACGAGAAGCUUGCUUCUCUGAUGUUAGCGGCGGACGGGUGAGUAACACGUGGAUAACCUACCUAUAAGACUGGGAUAACUUCGGGAAACCGGAGCUAAUACCGGAUGAUAUUUUGAACCGCAUGGUUCCAAAGUGAAAGACGGUCUUGCUGUCACUUAUAGAUGGAUCCGCGCUGCAUUAGCUAGUUGGUAAGGUAACGGCUUACCAAGGCAACGAUGCAUAGCCGACCUGAGAGGGUGAUCGGCCACACUGGAACUGAGACACGGUCCAGACUCCUACGGGAGGCAGCAGUAGGGAAUCUUCCGCAAUGGGCGAAAGCCUGACGGAGCAACGCCGCGUGAGUGAUGAAGGUCUUCGGAUCGUAAAACUCUGUUAUUAGGGAAGAACAUAUGUGUAAGUAACUGUGCACAUCUUGACGGUACCUAAUCAGAAAGCCACGGCUAACUACGUG
rnacentral:rRNA from 1 species